UACGUAGGGGGCGAGCGUUAUCCGGAUUUACUGGGUGUAAAGGGAGCGUAGACGGUCUGACAAGUCUGAAGUGAAAGCCCGCGGCUCAACCGCGGAACGGCUUUGGAAACUGUGAGGCUGGAGUGCUGGAGAGGUAAGCGGAAUUCCUAGUGUAGCGGUGAAAUGCGUAGAUAUUAGGAGGAACACCAGUGGCGAAGGCGGCUUACUGGACAGUAACUGACGUUGAGGCUCGAAAGCGUGGGGAGCAA
rnacentral:rRNA from 1 species